UACCUAUUCAAACUGUUGUGCUAUCUACUCUUUAUAACGUUCAAGGGGGUUUGCCAGGACUCCAUACUUCACAAAUGAUGACUUUAUUCUCUGUGUGGUGUGAAUCCUUCAGCUCAAAGAACCUGGUUCAUAAUUCCAGUCUGGGGCCUGGUGCCUCCUGCAGCAGUGGGUGGUGGUUUGUUUGCCUGUAUUGGCCUUGUGCUGAGGAACGGGACCUGGGCUGAGACCUACCUCCUUCACAUUUGAUGGGAUUUACCUGUGUUUUCUUUGAAAGGACCUGAGUGCGCUGCAAGGGCCAGCACCAGCCACACUUAAGGAGCCACAAGUCUUCAUAAGGUCCAAGAAAAUGGAAGGGAUCCCAGUUCAAGCUGGAGGUGUCAUCUGGUUCUAGCCAGCUGGGUGACAACCAGGGUGACAGUGUUGAGGUGCUAGUUAAAAGGAAUAGACAUUCUCACUGAAGCAGUGGUCAUGGACCUUUGCAGAAGUAGCUACAACCCUGUGCACACAGCCCAGCCUGCCCAGAACUGGGGUCUUUUAUCUCUGUCUCACCUCUAGCUUUCUCCGACUACAGGCUUUGUUCAUGAUGGUGCCUCCUCUGGCCUCUUGUGCUUAUUUAGUUCUGCUGAGCAGUAAUUGUUAUAUGAUGUAUGAAGUGGGGAACACAGGCCCCUGGUGAAAGUCUGGGGGUCUAUUUUGAUUUUUUUGAAGUUGCUGUUAAAAUAAAUAAGUAAACAAUACAAAAGAAAAAUCUUCUAACAUACAGGUGACAUUCUCUGGUUCUGGAUACAAUGUGAGGUUGUUCCGUUCAUGUCUCCCAUGUUUAAGGAGACUCAGUCUUCUUUACGGGCGAGCUUCCUAAUAGGUUAGCCAAUCCCAAGUGGUCAGCCCUAACACAUAUGCAUACAGCCAACACUAAGGGACUUAGUAAGUGGUAGAUAUAUGAACAUGUGUCUAUACAUGUAAUAGUAAUAUUAAAGAAGUGGUCAUGAAUUUGAAAGAGAAUAGAAGAGAGACACAGGAGGAGUUGGGAAGAGAGUAAAGGAUGGAAAUGAUGCAAAUACUGGUGGGGUCACACAAGAGGAAGAGCAACACAGUGUUAGAACUUGUGGAGUGUGGCCCACUGAUUAGCGCAACCGUGAUGGGUGAGACUCAGAGAGGCAGAGCCCCGAGGACUAUGUGUCCUGAAGUCUUCAUGCUGUUAAAGAGUUUUGCUCUGGUUGCUGCCCUCACACUACACAUCCCUCAAAACCUAGGAGUUGUGUGAAAAUUCUGAGGGGGCUUCCAGCCCCUCACUGGGCAAUGCCAUUGGUACUUACAGUAUUAGUGACUGGUCCAUUUUAAGCAUUAUUGCCGAUUAAUGCAGGUUAAUGAUUCAUCCACCAGCCUCAGAAAGGUAUUAAAGGUACAGAGUGUUAGCAACGACCACCAUCCUUAGAAAGAGUUUGGUGAUGUCGAUUGUUAGUAAAGUUAGGCUAAUAUAUUUUUUUGCUAGUGUCUCUGAUGUAGAAAAUCUUGGGGAACAAUAAAGGCACACUUUUAAUAUUGAGCGAGGAAUGUUUUUUGGGUCAGGGAACAAGAACAAUGGCAGCCGAGCCAGCACUAACUGACGUGAUUCUCUUACUAAAGCUGGCCUGGUGAUCAGCUGAUGAUUAAUUUCUUGUGCCCAUUUUGGUCCUCAGUGUCCUGAUAGAAUUUAACAAAAAAUGGUUAAUGAGUAGAUGUGCACCCCGAGGAGUUAAAAGAGAAAGGAAUGAUGUUUUUAUAUAUAAAGGUUUAGAUUUGUGAUUCUCUUUAAGAUUUUAAUAAGAUUACUUUUUAAGAUAAAUAAUAAAAUAAUCGAUCCUUUCUUUGUAGCUGC
rnacentral:lncRNA from 1 species